rnacentral:rRNA from 1 species
GACAGAGGGUGCAAACGUUGUUCGGAAUUACUGGGCGUAAAGGGCGCGUAGGCGGAUAGUUUAGUCAGAGGUAAAAGCCCAGGGCUCAACCUUGGAACUGCCUUUGAUACUGGCUAUCUUGAGUUCGGGAGAGGUGAGUGGAAUGCCGAGUGUAGAGGUGAAAUUCGUAGAUAUUCGGCGGAACACCAGUGGCGAAGGCGACUCACUGGCCCGAUACUGACGCUGAGGCGCGAAAGCGUGGGGAGCAAACAGG